rnacentral:rRNA from 1 species
UACGAAGGGGGCUAGCGUUGCUCGGAUUGACUGGGCGUAAAGGGCGCGUAGGCGGUUCGUACAGUCAGACGUGAAAUUCCUGGCUCAACCUGGGGGCUGCGUUUGAUACGUGCGGACUUGAGUGGCGGAAGAGGGUCGUGGAAUUCCCAGUGUAGAGGUGAAAUUCGUAGAUAUUGGGAAGAACACCGGUGGCGAAGGCGGCGACCUGGUCCGAUACUGACGCUGAGGCGCGAAAGCGUGGGUAGCAAACCGG